rnacentral:rRNA from 1 species
AUUGAACGCUGGCGGCAUGCUUUACACAUGCAAGUCGAACGGUAACAGGCCGCAAGGUGCUGACGAGUGGCGAACGGGUGAGUAAUGCAUCGGAACGUGCCCAGUCGUGGGGGAUAACGCAGCGAAAGCUGCGCUAAUACCGCAUACGAUCUAUGGAUGAAAGCGGGGGACCGUAAGGCCUCGCGCGAUUGGAGCGGCCGAUGUCAGAUUAGGUAGUUGGGGGGGUAAAGGCUCACCAAGCCAACGAUCUGUAGCUGGUCUGAGAGGACGACCGGACACACUGGGACUGGGACACGGCCCAGACUCCUACGGGAGGCAGCAGUGGGGAAUUUUGGACAAUGGGCGCAAGCCUGAUCCAGCAAUGCCGCGUGCAGGAAGAAGGCCUUCGGGUUGUAAACUGCUUUUGUACGGAACGAAACGGUCCGGGUUAAUACCCUGGGCUAAUGACGGUACCGUAAGAAUAAGGACCGGCUAACUACGUGCCAGCAGCCGCCGUAA